GUGUAGCUUUGGAACUUUGGCAUC
rnacentral:piRNA from 1 species